rnacentral:rRNA from 1 species
UAAGACGUAGGAGGCGAGCGUUAUCCGGAUUCACUGGGCGUAAAGCGCAAGUAGGCGGUUGCACAAGUCAUGUGUUAAAGCCCCUGGCUCAACUGGGGGAGGUCAUGUGAGACUGUGCGACUUGAGGGCAACAGAGGCAUGUGGAACUCCCGGUGUAGCGGUGGAAUGCGUAGAGAUCGGGAAGAACACCCGUGGCGAAGGCGGCAUGCUGGGUUGCGACUGACGCUGAGUUGCGAAAGUGUGGGGAGCAAACGGGAUUAGAUACCCCGGUAGUCCACACUGUAAACGAUGAACCCUAGGUGUGGGAGGAUAAAACCUUCUGUGCCGAAGCUAACGCGUUAAGGGUUCCGCCUGGGGACUAUGAGCGCAAGCUUA